rnacentral:misc_RNA from 2 species
AACAUAUUACGGGGGGCCGGACCCAAGGUGCGUGGAUUUCCAUGUGCUUUGACCCGCCCUGUCUGAAUAUUCUACCCAUGUCUUUUGCGUACUAUUCGUUUCCUCGGUGGGCUUGCCUGCCGAUAGGACACUAUAAAACCUUUUGUAAUUGCAGUCAGCGUCAGAAAUAAUUUAAUAAUUA